UGAGGAAUAUUGGUCAAUGGGCUAGAGCCUGAACCAGCCAAGUAGCGUGCAGGAUGACGGCCCUAUGGGUUGUAAACUGCUUUUAUAUGGGAUUAAAGUGAGGGACGUGUCCCUUAUUGCAUGUACCAUACGAAUAAGGACCGGCUAAUUCCGUGCCAGCAGCCGCGGUAAUACGGAAGGUUCGGGCGUUAUCCGGAUUUAUUGGGUUUACAGGGAGCGUAGGCCGUUUGGUAAGCGUGUUGUGAAAUGUAGGAGCUCAACUUCUAGAUUGCAGCGCGAACUGUCAGACUUGAGUGCGCACAACGUAGGCGGAAUUCAUGGUGUAGCGGUGAAAUGCUUCAAUAUCAUGAAGAACUCCGAUUGCGAAGGCAGCUUACGGGAGCGCAACUGACACUGAAGCUCGAAGGUGCGGGUAUCGAACAGG
rnacentral:rRNA from 1 species